AGAAUCCCAGAAUGCUCUGGGUUGGAAGAGACCUAAAAGCUCAUCCAGUUUCACCCCUACCAAGGGCAGGGACACCUUCCACUAAAUCAGGUUGCUCCAAGCCCCAUCCAACCCAGCCUUGAACAUUUCCAGGGAUGGGAUGGGGAAGCACAGUUGGUUUGUGACUUACAGGAAGACCUUUGUGGGCCCGAGAGCUGGAACAGAAACAGCUACACCACUGCAGAAGCAUCUUAUAUCAAGCCCUUCCUAGGCAUGGGCAGGACCCCAGCAGCUUGCCAACAACGCGCUUCAAAGCCGCACGCCAGCGCUGGAUGAAACACCACCACCGCAGCAGGCCGGGGACUUUCCUCUUCCAAGCCGGCUUGAUGGAUGGGCAGCAGUGGAGACAGAAAUCUUCCUGUUAUACUCACAGGGCAGGUACUGAAUCAGCAACCAUGGUGGCUACACAAGCUGCACCUCUCUGAACAAGCCUGAGACAAAAAAGAAGUGUUUCAGUGUGUCCCUCAGCCUCUACAGCACUUCCCAGCUCCUACAGCCACCUCACCUCUCGCUGGUUAACAGGCUUCACUCUUUCAAAGAAGAAGGUUGAGCCUUCAUUGGUUCUUGAUGCAGAUGGGAAUAUGACUUGGCCAAGCUCUUGCCCCACCUGAUCCUCCAGGCCCUGCAUUUUCAGGGGCAAUCUGCUCCUCUGCCAAUAUCCUGGCACUCCCCACCCAUCCCACCUCAGGAGGAAGCAAGAACCACCUACGUUUGCCUAGAGAGCCACCCUGUAGGCAAAGGCUUGGUGGUCCUGGUGGCCAGGAAGGUAGCCAAGAAUCAGUGGCAUGGCCUUGCAGUGAAGACGCCCAAACAUACACUCAGUAGAAUUAACAAAAGUGCUGCCCAGAGGUCAAGGGGAGUGAUCUCUCUGCUCUGUUCAUCACUUGUGAGACCACAGAUGGAGCACUGUGUCUAAUUUGGGGUCUCCAGACAGACAUUGUCACUGUGGAGGCACACAGAGGGGAUGAGGGAGCUGGAGCACAUGAAGUGAGAAGAGAGGUUUGUUCAGCCCAGAGAUGAGGGUAUGAAGGGGGAAUGUCACUUUUUCAUCUAACUACCUAAUGAUUAAUUAUAGAGAAGAAGGGAGUUAGACUCUUCUCAGUGCACAAGAAACCAUGGACAGAAGUUACAGCAAAGCAAGUUUAGAUCAGAUGUAAGAAGAACAUUUUCAGUAAGAGGCUGGUCAAGCCUUGAAUCAUGAAGCCAGAGAGAUGCUGGGAUCUGUGUCCUUGGAGAUACUCAAAACUCAACCACACAAAGGCAUCAGCCUGUCCAAGAGUGGGAACUUGAAUCAGGAGUUUUCAAAGGUCCCUGCCACCAAAACCAUUCCCUGAAUCCAUGCUCUAGUUGUGCAGAUAUGGAGCCAAGGCACAGAGGAGAUGAAAUAAUACAACCACAGGUAUGCAGGGGACCUCUACCUGAGGUAGAGGCCAUGUCUCCAGAGAGCAACCUAAACCCCUACCCUCGUUGCUCUUGGGUAAAUUAAACCCAUCACUACAGUUGUGUCUGUGUGUGCUGGGGUUUCUGGGGUCAUCUGCUCCCCUGGUAGGAAGCUGCACUUCUCCUCCUGCAAAAAUUCUUUCAAUUUUUAAUUUUUUUCCAACUUCAGGGCCAAUUCUGCAACUCCAUCUUUGUGCUAGGACUGUCAGUGAAAGUGUCAACUGCGUGGCUGGUUUCUGUGAUGUGGAAUCAUGCCCACCAAGACUUGGACCAGGACUGUGCAGCCCAUUUCACAUAAGCCACCAACCAGCCCACACUUGGCAAAAGACUGAAGACAGUAUCAGCCAUGCCUGCAUGACUCCUGGCUUUGGGCCAUUUUUCUCCAGCCCUCCGAGCAGCCACGAUAUAAAUCUUGCUGUCCUUCCACUGGUCUUUGCUGUGACAACACAAUCACUUGGCUGCCCAUGCCAGCCCCCAUUGGGUGUUUGUCAGGGAUGCGUCAGUGGAA